ACUUCACCUUUUUACUUCGGCAAUAGUUUCCAUUGCAAAUGACAUCCUAUUGCUACAGAAAUGUUCCAUCGCAAUUAAGCCUUAUUACAGCAAAUGUGUUACUGUACGCCUCGUUAUGAAGAUGCUUUAGAUCCAAUCGGAGAAGGAAAUCGUCAUCGAGUUCAUUAAGAAUGACGACUACAAAUAUGUCCAGGUGCUUGGUGCAUUUUACUUGUGUAUUACCAGUACCUAGAGCCUUUGUACAAUGACAAGUAAAAUUGGCUGAUGGACGUGGAAAGUAUCGCUCUCUUUGCUGUCCAAGAACACAACAAGCGAUAGAAUGGUGUGCUUGAGUUUGCGAGGGUGUUGAAGUCAAGGGAACAAGUGGUUGUUUAAAUUUGAAUUUAACUGGGCAAACCUUUGUUUUGGUUCUAAUAGUUCGAAGCUAUAUUCUUAUAAAUGUUGUGCUAUGUUCAGCAGGAUAGGUCGGAGUGCCAAUGCAUGGCCCCUGUAGAAGCGUUGCUGCUGUGAAGUUAUCAAAGGAUCAAUCACCAAAGAAGUGAGCUUUUAUGCCCCUCAGAAUCUAUCCACCUGAUGGUUGCAAUAGUUGGUUUCAAACAUUCUAUAUUGUCAGAAUGGAGAGGAUGGUGGUGAACUCUCAAUUGGUGAAAAUAUGAUAGCUGCUGCUGGGCUGCCACAGCUAUUUCAACAAAUCCAUUAUGGGUUGUUAAGACAAGACUGCAAACUCGGGUGGAUCAAAUUACACAACAGCUGAAAUUUGGAAUAUCAGAGUUUGAAAACAAUGAGAACGUAUCAUCAGUACCUCAAGAUCCAGACCACAUAUCCUCUACAUAUCAAGUUGACAAGGAGGGUGCAGAACAAUUGGACCUGGAAAAGCAGGAAGCCAUAGGUGUGCUUGAUGGCUGUCACAGAUUAUACCGUCCUGGUUCUUAUGUUAUGCCUUGAUUAAGUUUUGAGUAUAUUCAGAAGAAGAAGCAGCACCAGCUUAGAACUGUUAUACGUGGAAGUGCAAGCUUCUAUCUCAUGGCUUGUGUGCGUGAUUUGGCUAGUGCAAAUCCCAUAAUAUUUUUAAUUUAUGAUAUUUGUUGUAGAUGGUACUAGCUUUGAUGUGCAAUUCACACAUUUUUUUUUUUAUAAAUGAAAUAUUCUUUUG